GGAGGGGUCGCAUAGUGGCCUAGUGCGGGCGCCUGCUAAGCGCUUACCCCGGUUUCGGGGUCGUGGGUUCGACUCCCACCCCCUCCGCCA
rnacentral:tRNA from 1 species